UACGUAGGUGGCAAGCGUUGUCCGGAUUUACUGGGCGUAAAGAGCUCGUAGGCGGUCUGUCGCGUCGGCUGUGAAAACCCGGGGCUCAACCCCGGGCCUGCAGUCGAUACGGGCAGACUAGAGUGCGGUAGGGGAGACUGGAAUUCCUGGUGUAGCGGUGAAAUGCGCAGAUAUCAGGAGGAACACCGGUGGCGAAGGCGGGUCUCUGGGCCGUAACUGACGCUGAGGAGCGAAAGCGUGGGGAGCGAACAGG
rnacentral:rRNA from 1 species